GAGUUUGAUCAUGGCUCAGAACGUACGCUGGCGGCACGCCUAACACAUGCAAGUCGAACGAAGUAGCAAUACUUAGUGGCAGACGGGUGAGUAACAUGUAGGUAUCUGCCCUUUGGCCUGGAAUAACACGAGGAAACUUGUGCUAAUACCGGAUAAGUCUUUACGGAGAAAGCUUUAUGCACCAUUGGAUGAGCCUGCACUUGAUUAGUUUGUUGGUGGGGUAACGGCCUACCAAGACUGUGAUCAAUAGCUGAUUUGAGAGGAUGAUCAGCCACAUUGGGACUGAGACACGGCCCAAACUCCUACGGGAGGCAGCAGUGGGGAAUCUUGCACAAUGGAGGAAACUCUGAUGCAGCGAUGCCGCGUGAGUGAAGAAGGCCUUUGGGUUGUAAAGCUCUUUCGUCGGGGAAGAGAAUGACUGUACCCGAAUAAGAAGGUCCGGCUAACUUCGUGCCAGCAGCCGCGGUAAUACGAAGGGACCUAGCGUAGUUCGGAAUUACUGGGCUAAAAGAGUUCGUAGGUGGUUGAAAAAGUUAGUGGUGAAAUCCCAGAGCUUAACUCUGGAACUGCCAUUAAAACUUUUCAGCUAGAGUAUGAUAGAGGAAAGUAGAAUUUCUAGUGUAGAGGUGAAAUUCGUAGAUAUUAGAAAGAAUACCAAUUGCGAAGGCAGCUUUCUGGAUCAUUACUGACGCUGAGGAACGAAAGCAUGGGUAGCGAAGAGGAUUAGAUACCCUCGUAGUCCAUGCCGUAAACGAUGUGUGUUAGACGUUGGAAAUUUAUUUUCAGUGUCGCAGGGAAACCGAUAAACACACCGCCUGGGGAGUACGACCGCAAGGUUAAAACUCAAAUGAAUUGACGGGGACCCGCACAAGUAGUGGAGCAUGUGGUUUAAUUCGAAGAUACGCGCAGAACCUUACCAACACUUGACAUGUUCGUCGCGACUCUAAGAGAUUAGAGUUUUCGGUUCGGCCGGACGAAACACAGGUGCUGCAUGGCUGUCGUCAGCUCGUGUCGUGAGAUGUUGGGUUAAGUCCCGCAACGAGCGCAACCCUCACUUUUAGUUGCCAUCAUUAAGUUGGGCACUCUGAAAGAACUGCCAGUGAUAAGCUGGAGGAAGGUGGGGAUGACGUCAAGUCCUCAUGGCCCUUACGUGUUGGGCUACACACGUGCUACAAUGGUAUCUACAACAGGAAGCAAGACUGCGAAGUUAAGCAAAUCCCUAAAAGAUACCUCAGUUCGGAUUGCACUCUGCAACUUGAGUGCAUGAAGCUGGAAUUACUAGUAAUCGUGGAUCAGCGUGCCACGGUGAAUGCGUUCCCGGGUCUUGUACACACCGCCCGUCACACCAUGGGAGUUGGUUCUACCUUAAGGCAAGGUUUCAAACCCUUGACCACGGUAUAGUCAGCGACUGGGGUGAAGUCGUAACAAGGUAACC
rnacentral:rRNA from 1 species